AUUGAACGCUGGCGGAAUGCUUUACACAUGCAAGUCGAGCGGCAGCGCGGGGGGCAACCCUGGCGGCGAGCGGCGAACGGGUGAGUAACAUAUCGGAACGUACCCCGUCGUGGGGGAUAACACAGCGAAAGCUGUGCUAAUACCGCAUACGACCUGAGGGUGAAAGCGGGGGAUCGCAAGACCUCGCGCGAUGGGAGCGGCCGAUGCCGGAUUAGCUAGUUGGUGAGGUAAAGGCUCACCAAGGCGACGAUCCGUAGCUGGUCUGAGAGGAUGAUCAGCCACACUGGGACUGAGACACGGCCCAGACUCCUACGGGAGGCAGCAGUGGGGAAUAUUGGACAAUGGGCGCAAGCCUGAUCCAGCAAUGCCGCGUGUGUGAAGAAGGCCUGCGGGUUGUAAAGCACUUUCAGUGGGGAAGAACGGAUACGGGCCAAUACCCCGCAUCACUGACGUUACCCACAGAAGAAGCACCGGCUAACUCGUGCCAG
rnacentral:rRNA from 1 species